rnacentral:rRNA from 1 species
GUACACGCUGUGACUAGCAUAUCAAUAAGCGGAGGAAAAGAAACUAACAAGGAUUCCCCUAGUAACGGCGAGUGAAGCGGGAAGAGCUCAAAUUUGAAAUCUUAAAGGGUUUCCCUUUACGAAUUGUAGUCUAAAGAAGUGUUUUCUGUUGAGGUUUUGGUAAAAGUUCUUUGGAAUAGGACAUCAUAGAGGGUGAGAAUCCCGUAUUUGACCUUUACUUUCAACUUUGUGAUACACUUUCAAAGAGUCGGAUUGUUUGGGAAUGCAGUCCAAAAUGGGUGAUAAAUUUCAUCUAAAGCUAAAUAUUGGCGAGAGACCGAUAGCGAACAAGUACCGUGAGGGAAAGAUGAAAAGAACUUUGAAAAGAGAGUUAAACAGUACGUGAAAUUGUCAAAAGGGAAGCGUUUGACACCAGUGUUGUUUUUCUGAAAAUCAAUUAAGGAACUGUUUAUGCUAAGUUGUUUAGACUUUAUCAGCUAACUGUUUAGUUUUGAGCUUUUCUUUAAUGCACUUUUCAGUUAGCAAGUCAACAUCAAUUUCUUUUGCUGUAAAAAAGCUUGAGGAAGGUGGCUUGAGAUUCGUCUUAAGUGUUUAUAGCCUCUUGCCUAUGCAGUCGGAGAGAUUGAGGUCUGCAGCGUAGAUCCUUCGGGGCUAAAUGCAUUUGUGCUAAGUUAUAGCAUUUUAUAGACAACUUGUUGACUAUGAUUUGUCUUGUAGCUUACUCGCUUAUGUUAUUUUACCUACGCUUAGAUGUUGAAGAUGUAGCACAUCAU